GGGGCUGUAGCUCAGUUGGGAGAGCAUCUCGUUCGCAACGAGGGGGUCGGGAGUUCGAUUCUCCCCAGCUCCA
rnacentral:tRNA from 1 species